rnacentral:snoRNA from 1 species
CUCCUGGGUCCCUUGUGCAGCCCUGGAUGACCCCAUAAUAUUAUAUAAUCAGGCCCCAUGUGGGUGGCACUGCUUCCCAGAGCCUGAGAGGAUGAUAAAAAUGUGGCAGGUAAAGUGGGGACAAGGGACCUAGGG